GCUGGUUUCAUCACUCCCUGAAUGUGCCUGAUCUAAUCUGAUCUUGGAAGCUAAGCAGGGUCAGGCCUGGUUAGUAUUAGGAUGAGUAUUUGUGUUUUAAUAGUACAUUAGAGGGAAGCU
rnacentral:rRNA from 1 species